rnacentral:rRNA from 1 species
CCUACGGGGGGCAGCAGUGGGGGAUAUUGCACAAUGGGGGGAACCCUGAUGCAGCGACGCCGCGUGGGUGAAGGAGCGUUUCGGCGCGUAAAGCCCUAUCGGCAGGGGAGAAGGAGGACGGUACCUGACUAAGAAGCCCCGGCUAACUACGUGCCAGCAGCCGCGGUAAUACGUAGGGGGCAAGCGUUAUCCGGAUUUACUGGGUGUAAAGGGGGCGCAGACGGCAGCGCAAGCCAGUAGUGAAAGCCCGGGGCACAACCCCGGGACUGCUAUGGGAACUGCGCGGCUGGAGGGCAGGAGGGGGAGGCGGAAGUCGGGGUGUAGGGGUGAAAUGCGGAGAUAUCGGGAGGAA